GACGAACGCUGGCGGCGUGCUUAACACAUGCAAGUCGGACGAUGAAGCCGGAGCUUGCUCUGGUGAAUUAGUGGCGAACGGGUGAGUAACACGUGAGUAACCUGCCCUUGACUCUGGGAUAACUGCGGGAAACUGUAGCUAAUACCGGAUACGACCCUCGGCGGCAUCGCCAGGGGGUGGAAAGAAUUUCGGUCAAGGAUGGACUCGCGGCCUAUCAGCUAGUUGGUGAGGUAACGGCGCACCAAGGCGACGACGGGUAGCCGGCCUGAGAGGGGGACCGGCCACAGUGGGACUGUGAGACGGUCCAAUCUCCUACGGGAGGCAGCAGUGGAGAAUAUUGCACAAUGGGCGCAAGCCUGGUGCAGCAACGCCGCGUGAGGGAUGACGGCCUUCGGGUUGUAACCCUCUUUUAGUAGGGAAGAAGCGAAAGUGACGGUACCUGCAGAAAAAGCACCGGCUAACUACGUGCCAGCCGCCGCCGUAA
rnacentral:rRNA from 1 species